GAUGAACGCUGGCGGCGUGCCUAAUACAUGCAAGUCGAGCGAAUGGAUUAAGAGCUUGCUCUUAUGAAGUUAGCGGCGGACGGGUGAGUAACACGUGGGUAACCUGCCCAUAAGACUGGGAUAACUCCGGGAAACCGGGGCUAAUACCGGAUAACAUUUUGAACCGCAUGGUUCGAAAUUGAAAGGCGGCUUCGGCUGUCACUUAUGGAUGGACCCGCGUCGCAUUAGCUAGUUGGUGAGGUAACGGCUCACCAAGGCAACGAUGCGUAGCCGGCCUGGAAGGGGGAUCGGCCACGCUGGGACUGAGCCACGGCCCAGACUCCUACGGGAGGCAGCAGUAGGGAAUCUUCCGCAAUGGACGAAAGUCUGACGGAGCAACGCCGCGUGAGUGAUGAAGGCUUUCGGGUCGUAAAACUCUGUUGUUAGGGAAGAACAAGUGCUAGUUGAAUAAGCUGGCACCUUGACGGUACCUAACCAGAAAGCCACGGCUAACUACGUGCCAGCAGCCGCCGUAA
rnacentral:rRNA from 1 species